UGGGUAACCUACCCAUAAGACUGGGAUAACUCCGGGAAACCGGGGCUAAUACCGGAUAAUAUUUUGAACUGCAUAGUUCGAAAUUGAAAGGCGGCUUCGGCUGUCACUUAUGGAUGGACCCGCGUCGCAUUAGCUAGUUGGUGAGGUAACGGCUCACCAAGGCAACGAUGCGUAGCCGACCUGAGAGGGUGAUCGGCCACACUGGGACUGAGACACGGCCCAGACUCCUACGGGAGGCAGCAGUAGGGAAUCUUCCGCAAUGGACGAAAGUCUGACGGAGCAACGCCGCGUGAGUGAUGAAGGCUUUCGGGUCGUAAAACUCUGUUGUUAGGGAAGAACAAGUGCUAGUUGAAUAAGCUGGCACCUUGACGGUACCUAACCAGAAAGCCACGGCUAACUACGUGCCAGCAGCCGCGGUAAUACGUAGGUGGCAAGCGUUAUCCGGAAUUAUUGGGCGUAAAGCGCGCGCAGGUGGUUUCUUAAGUCUGAUGUGAAAGCCCACGGCUCAACCGUGGAGGGUCAUUGGAAACUGGGAGACUUGAGUGCAGAAGAGGAAAGUGGAAUUCCAUGUGUAGCGGUGAAAUGCGUAGAGAUAUGGAGGAACACCAGUGGCGAAGGCGA
rnacentral:rRNA from 1 species